rnacentral:rRNA from 1 species
ACGCUCGACACCUACGGGAGGCAGCAGUGGGGAAUAUUGCACAAUGGGGGAAACCCUGAUGCAGCGACGCCGCGUGGAGGAAGAAGGUCUUCGGAUUGUAAACUCCUGUUGUUGGGGAAAAAGAGGAUGGUACCCAACAAGGAAGUGACGGCUAACUACGUGCCAGGAGCCGCGGUAAUCUGAGCGGGCUGGCAAGGC